CCUUUAGAGUUUUGGAUCCUGGCUCAGAUUGAACGCUGGCGGCAGGCCUAACACAUGCAAGUCGAGCGGCAGCGACAACAUUGAACCUUCGGGGGAUUUGUUGGGCGGCGAGCGGCGGACGGGUGAGUAAUGCUUGGGAAUAUGCCUUAUGGUGGGGGACAACAGUUGGAAACGACUGCUAAUACCGCAUGAUGUCUACGGACCAAAGUGGGGGACCUUCGGGCCUCACGCCAUAAGAUUAGCCCAAGUGGGAUUAGCUAGUUGGUGAGGUAAUGGCUCACCAAGGCGACGAUCCCUAGCUGGUUUGAGAGGAUGAUCAGCCACACUGGGACUGAGACACGGCCCAGACUCCUACGGGAGGCAGCAGUGGGGAAUAUUGCACAAUGGGCGCAAGCCUGAUGCAGCCAUGCCGCGUGUGUGAAGAAGGCCUUCGGGUUGUAAAGCACUUUCAGUAAGGAGGAAAGGUUAAGUGUUAAUAGCACUUAGCUGUGACGUAC
rnacentral:rRNA from 1 species